GAUGAACGCUGGCGGCGUGCCUAUCCAUUCCAAUUCAACCAACAGAACAGGAAGUUGCUUCUCUUACGUUUGGCGCGGACCGGUGAGGUACACGUUGAAUACCUACCUAUUAGACCGGGGUAAAUUCCGGAAACCGGAGCUAAUUCCGGAUAAAUAAUUUAACCGGAUGGGUCCAUAGUGAAAUGCGGUUUUUCUGUCACUUAUAGAUGGAUUCCCGCCGCAUUAGCUAGUUGGUAAGGUAACGGCCUACCAAGGCAACGAUGCGUAGCCGACCUGAGAGGGUGAUCGGCCACACUGGAACUGAGACACGGUCCAGACUCCUACGGGAGGCAGCAGUAGGGAAUCUUCCGCAAUGGGCGAAAGCUUGACGGAGCAACGCCGCGUGAGUGAUGAAGGUCUUCGGAUCGUAAAACUCUGUUAUUAGGGAAGAACAAAUGUGUAAGUAACUAUGCACGUCUUGACGGUACCUAAUCAGAAAGCCACGGCUAACUACGUG
rnacentral:rRNA from 1 species